rnacentral:lncRNA from 1 species
AUUUUUAUUUAGCUCGACAUUAAAUUACUCCACUAAUGGAUAGAGCAGUUUGCUAUGGAGCAGGAAAGCUAUGCACAUGCUUUGGAAAGACAAUUGUAGUGUAGGGUGCGACAUGCGACUGAAAUUUUGCGGGUGAGGAGAGCGCAGGGCAUGAAGCAUGGAAAUCUUGUUAUGACAAGCAUUAUCUUAGUUAAGCCCACAGAAUUAUGGCUUCUAUGAAGGAACUUUGAAUGUCGUUGACCUUCAGAGAGUUGGCUUAACUAACGUUGGACUAGAGCUAGCCCUUGAUCAUGACUCUCAGUUCUAUUACAUUCCUUAUAAUGCUGCCUAUUGUUUUUAAGAGCUAGACCAAAGCUAGCUAACAAGCUAGCUAGCUAAAAAGCUUGAGUGUGCAGAGUGGCACCAGAAUAAAGAUAAAAAUAAGUUAACAUAAAUUAACGUUAUUAACCAGUAUCCAUGCUUUUAAAAAUAACGGUUAUAUUCCGGAACAGUAUAGAUCACUUUUGUUCUCGGUUCUGGUUCUGUUCCUAUCUCCAAGUAUACUGGCAGCUACCAGGUUGUUAGCUAGCUAGCGAAUGAGAUAACAUGACUAAACAAAGUGUAAACAAAUGGUUAACAAUGCGCGAGCAGUUUAAGAACAGCCUACGACAUGGUUUAUGAAUAAUAUGCUGUCCUGGUGGUCUGCUAUAGGAAAGUAAAAAUGUUGUGCCAGUAUUAUGGGUCAGAUCUUUUGACCUCGUUGCUGUUUUUCUCUAGUGCACUAGGAAAUAACGGUACAGCGAAGCCUUAUCAUUACAACAAUUAUUAUCUGGUAGAUUUUUUUCCUUAGUCACACAGUGCUCCCAAAAUAAACUCCUGGUCGCACAGAAAAAUAUUCCGUUGCAUAUGCAACUAAAUUGGUCGCACUUUAGAGGCCUGGGCAUAAGAUGUGUUUAAGGUUAGGGUUAAGGUUAAGGUUAAGGUUAGGUUUAGGUUUAAAAUCAGAUUUUAUGACUUUGUGGCUGUGCCAGCCAGUGACUACCCUGCAGAGCUGCCUCCAGUACAUGAGUCAUCCCAAUAAAUGCCAACAUUGUCAGGCCUGUUUCUCAUCUCCUAAAGCCACAUCCUUUUUCAGAAGUGUCAGAAUACAGUUGGAAUUCAGGCAGAAUGGUCGUCUCGCUGUUUCCCUUUUCCUCUGCAUAGUUCUAAAGAGCAAGUGGGGCUUUAGUAAAGAGAUUAUGGUUGGGCUAUCUAUUAGGAUUUAGUUUGUAUGGUUGUGUCAUAGAUAUUAAAAUAAUUAGUAUAAAAGUCCUAAUUACUUGAAAUAAAAAUAAACAUUUCAUCUGUUUAAUCUGCCACAUCUUUUAUUUACAGUAUAUUUGACAAAAUGUGUUUGUCAUGCACAUAUGCAAGCUCAUACAACAGUCACGCAUGCUCACACGCACACAGGCAUACACACACACGAACACACACACACUGCCAAAACCAUUGGUUUGUAGAGGAAGAUGACAAAUAUUUCAGAGAAUGCAGACUGAAUGGGGGGAAAUUCAUAUGCAACACUAUGUUCUUUUUCACAUUGAAGAAUCAAAUCUAAUAUUUUGUGGCCAUUGAGCAUUGGGUUAGGCUGUGAAAGAGAUGUUGAUUGCCUCUGCUAACAAGAGCAUAAUGUAUUCUAUUGUGUUCAUCAUUCGUCCAUGUUUAUUAAGGCAGGAACAGGCAGGCACAGUUUUGUUAGGUACUGUAGUCCUAUAAAUGUUCCUCAUCAGUCUACACACAAUACCCCAUAAUGACAAAGCAAAAACAGGAUUUUUAGAAAUGUCCAGCUCAAGGAAGAGUCUUGGUGGUUCCAAACUUCUUACAUUUAAGAAUGAUGGAGACCACUGUGUUCUUGGGGACCUUCAUUGCUGCAGACAUUUUUUGGAACCCUUCCCAGAUCUGUGCCUCGACACAAUCUUGUCUCGGAGCUCUACAGACAAUUCCUUCAACUUCAUGGCUUGGUUUUACUCUGACAUGCACUGUCAACUGUGAGACCUUAUAUAGACAGAUGUGUGCCUUUCCAAAUCAUGUCCAAUCAAUCAAGUUGUAGAAACAUCUCAUGGAUGAUCAUUGUAAACAGGAUGCACCUGAGCUCAAUUUUGAGUCUCAUAGCAAAGGGUCUGAAUACUUAUGUAAAUAAGGUAUUUCUGAAAAAAUGUCUAAAAAGCUGUUUUCGCUUUGUCAUUAUGGGGUAUUGUGCAUAGACUGCUGAGGAUUUGUAUUUAUUUAAUCCAUUUUAG